rnacentral:rRNA from 1 species
UACGAAGGAUGCAAGCGUUAUCCGGAUUCAUUGGGUUUAAAGGGAGCGUAGGUGGCCUUAUAAGUCAGUGGUGAAAUCUCUGGGCUUAACUCAGAAAUUGCCAUUGAUACUGUAGGGCUUGAGUAUAGUUGCCGUUGGCGGAAUAUGACAUGUAGUGGUGAAAUGCGCAGAUAUCAGGAAGAACACCCGUGGCGAAGGCGGUUCUCUGGGACGGUACUGACGCUGAAACGCGAAAGCGUGGGGAGCGAACAGG